CAAUUGUUUUAAAAGUUCUCAACUUGAUCUUUGCUGAUUUAAAGUUUGGACACAUACAUUUUGCAAUGAUCACCUCUAGUUUUCAAUUUAAAAAUAUCAGCUUUCUUUCAACAUACCUGAUUACCAGUAACUAAUAGAUUUAAACAUUACCUUGGGCAAUGUUUCUGGCAAUGACAGAAAAGCCUCUUCAAUCUAUAUGACUUACAUGUACAUUCACAGUUCUUCAAAUUGACCUUCAGUUGGAGGAUUUUCAGGCAACUACAGUAAAGAGGAAGAGAAAAUUAAUGACAUUUCAGUACCUUGUCUUCCCUCAUCAUUGGUAAACAAACCAGCAUCAGUACUGCUGAGGCUGCUGGAGUCACUGUAAUAAGGGGGGGAAAAGAGAGAAAUGGAUCAAAAGAACAAUUGAUCUCUCAGUCGUAAAAUUUUAAAGAGACAAGGUGGUGCUCAGAUGGAACUUAAGCUGACAAAGAUAUGAAAGAAAAUAAGAUGAUUUUUUUUAAUCAAACUGCAAAUAUCCUGGUUCCAUUAACUACAGAGCAUAUUAUUUUUGGCACAUAAAACCACAGGAAUCUAAUGGGACCCUGACAGUAAGCCAGAUGUGACUGCAACGAGGUGCUGACACAAUUGAUGCAUUUUAUUAUCUGCUUCCAUCAAAUGCUCACUGCUCUUUUCUUAUGCUGUGCAAUUCAGCUUGAUCCUGGAACACCACUGCUCAA